rnacentral:rRNA from 1 species
UCUGGCGGCGAUAGCAUGAUGGACACACCCGUUCCCAUCUCGAACACGGAAGUUAAGCAUCAUAACGGCGACGAUAGUGUGAAGACGCGACAAUAGCAAGCUGCCAGGU